rnacentral:tRNA from 1 species
UCCCCGGUGGCGCAGUGGUAGCGCAGUCGCCUGUUAAGCGAUUGGUCGUAGGUUCGAAUCCUACCCGGGGAGCAA